UUCACUGAGAAGGAUCAGGAACUGAAUUCAAUUUGUUUGAUACUGCCCAAAAUCACAAAUCACCACUUUGCUUCAGAGGGUUUUACAACCUGUACACAUACGACAUCCCUGACCUUUGACCUUGAAAAACUGAAGAAAACUGAUGAAAAAAGGGAAGAAUCCUUCAGGAGAGCAACAGAGGAGGAUCCGUCUCCAGGAUGGACGGAUCAAGAACAUGUCCUAAAGACAUCAAACAUGGAUCACAUGAAACUUCCUGAUGGUAAACUCAAGUUAUUUUACUCAGAGAUCAAUUAUCUGGGGAUCUAUUGUACUUCUGGUCACAUGACAUCUAUUGUACUUCUGUCAGUGGCGGGCCGUCCGGGCCUUCUAAGCCUUCUCUGAAGCCGAUCUGAGCUAUUUUAUAAUAAAUACAUUUAAAAAUGUAAAAAAUCAUGGGGACCUUAUUGUUGAUUGACAUGAUCUUCAACCAAUCAUAUCGCUAGUUUGACAUACUGGGUGUAUUUCUUGAGGUCUUUGGCCUUCUGGAAGCUCAUGAGCUGUACUCAUUGUGUUCAAGUUAUUCAGGUGCUCUGCAACAUCCACCACGAAUGCAAGCACAGCAGCUCGGCCUCACCAUCGUACCUCGGUGUGGGACGGCAGCCCAUAGCUGUGGUCUUUCUCUCUGAGAAGGAAGUCAACCUGGCGGUGAUUCAGGCCUCUGGAUCGGAUGACAUCAACAGUCUGGACGACCACCUUCAUGACGUUUUCCAUCGUUAAUGACUUGCAACACAAAGCCUCCUGAUGCAAAGUGCAGGGAGAAGUCCCAAAAUCACAUCCUCCAUUUGCAGUCUGCACUUCUUUUCUGAACUGUGUCACAACUCCUGCUUUUCCCCGAUCAUUGAGGGCGCACCAUCUGUCGCCAUGGUGACAGCGCGGGGCCAGUCCACUCCGACCCGGUCCAGGGCGCCGACGAGAGCGGUGAAAAUAUCAGCUGCUGUUCCUAGAAAUGUAGAGGAAUAUAUCAUGUAUUUGCUACACCUCAAAUACAAUGUUGAGUCAUUAAAUACAUAAAUAUUG